rnacentral:rRNA from 1 species
AGUCACAGGCGAUGGCACGUUGAAUACGCCAGUCCUCGAGGUCACUGAAGUUAAGCAACGGUGCACGUGGUUAGUAUCCGAACGGGUGAACAAUCAGUCAGCCUGGUUGACGUUAAUG